GAUGAACGCUGGCGGCGUGCCUAAUACAUGCAAGUCGAGCGAACAGAUGAGGAGCUUGCUCCUCUGACGUUAGCGGCGGACGUGUGAGUAACACGUGGAUAACCUACUUAUAAGACUGGGAUAACCUCGGGAAACCGGAUCUAAUACCGGAUAAGAUAUUGAACCGCGUGGUUCAAUAGUGAAAGACGGUUUUGCUGGCACUUAUAGAUGGAUCCGCGCCGCAUUAGCUAGUUGGUAAGGUAACGGCUUACCAAGGCAACGAUGCGUAGCCGACCUGAGGGGGUGAUCGCCCACACUGGAACUGAGCCACGGUCCAGACUCCUACGGGAGGCAGCAGUAGGGAAUCUUCCGCAAUGGGCGAAAGCCUGACGGAGCAACGCCGAGUGAGUGAUGAAGGUCUUCGGAUCGUAAAACUCUGUUAUUAGGGAAGAACAAAUGUGUAAGUAACUAUGCACGUCUUGACGGUACCUAAUCAGAAAGCCACGGCUAACUACGUG
rnacentral:rRNA from 1 species